rnacentral:rRNA from 1 species
AGAAUGAACGCUGGCGGCAUGCCUAACACAUGCAAGUCGAACGAAGCCUUCGGGUUUAGUGGCGCACGGGUGCGUAACGCGUGGGAAUCUACCCCUUGGUUCGGAAUAACAGUUGGAAACGACUGCUAAAUACCGGAUGAUGACGUAAGUCCAAAGAUUUAUCGCCGAGGGAUGAGCCCGCGUAGGAUUAGGUAGUUGGUGUGGUAAAGGCGCACCAAGCCGACGAUCCUUAGCUGGUCUGAGAGGAUGAUCAGCCACACUGGGACUGAGACACGGCCCAGACUCCUACGGGAGGCAGCAGUGGGGAAUAUUGGACAAUGGGCGAAAGCCUGAUCCAGCAAUGCCGCGUGAGUGAUGAAGGCCUUAGGGUUGUAAAGCUCUUUACCCGGGAUGAUAAUGACAGUACCGGGAGAAUAAGCUCCGGCUAACUCCGUGCCAGCACGCCGC